rnacentral:rRNA from 1 species
GACGAACGCUGGCGGCGUGCUUAACACAUGCAAGUCGAACGAAGAGCGAUGGAAGCUUGCUUCUAUCAAUCUUAGUGGCGAACGGGUGAGUAACGCGUAAUCAACCUGCCCUUCAGAGGGGGACAACAGUUGGAAACGACUGCUAAUACCGCAUACGAUCUAAUCUCGGCAUCGAGGAAAGAUGAAAGGUGGCCUCUAUUUAUAAGCUAUCACUGAAGGAGGGGAUUGCGUCUGAUUAGCUAGUUGGAGGGGUAACGGCCCACCAAGGAGAUGAUCAGUAGCCGGUCUGAGAGGAUGAACGGCCACAAUGGGACUGAGACACGGCCCAGACUCCUACGGGAGGCAGCAGUGGGGAAUCUUCCGCAAUGGACGAAAGUCUGACGGAGCAACGACGCGUGAGUGAUGACGGCCUUCGGGUUGUAAAGCUCUGUUAAUCGGGACGAAAGGCCUUCUUGCGAACAGUUAGAAGGAUUGACGGUACCGGAAUAGAAAGCCACGGCUAACUACGUG